rnacentral:rRNA from 1 species
CUCGUAGGCGGCCAACUAAGUCAUACGUGAAAUCCCUCGGCUUAACCGGGGAACUGCGUCUGAUACUGGAUGGCUUGAGAUUGGGAGAGGGAUGCGGAAUUCCAGGUGUAGCGGUGAAAUGCGUAGAUAUCUGGAGGAACACCGGUGGCGAAGGCGGCAUCCUGGACCAACACUGACGCUGAGGAGCGAAAGCCAGGGGAGCAAC